GGCUGUGUGGCCCAAUGGUUAAGGCGCCUGACUACGAAUCAGGAGAUUGGGCGUUCGACUCGCCCCAUAGUCA
rnacentral:tRNA from 2 species